rnacentral:lncRNA from 1 species
AGAUUUUGCCGGUCCCUUAGAUAAAUCUAUCUCUAAAAAAUUGUCCCUUGAUCUUUUAAAUGGAAGUUAUUUUUCUUCGGUGUGUUGGUUUAAAGUUUCUUGACCUAUUGCUUUUAAAAUAAAUUUACAGGUGUCCUAUAUGAAAAGUAUACUAGUUGGAAAAGUAAGUGGAUCUCAAGUAAUUCUUAGAAACUGAAAGC